GACGAACGCUGGCGGCGUGCCUAAUACAUGCAAGUCGAACGAGAGCAACCGGUGCUUGCUCUGGUCACUCUAGUGGCGAACGGGUGAGUAACACGUGGGUAACCUGCCCAUCAGACGGGGAUAACAUCCGGAAACGGAUGCUAAAACCGCAUAGUUUUUCGAACCGCAUGGUUUAAAGAGGAAAAGAGGCGCAAGCUUCUGCUGAUGGAUGGACCCGCGGUGCAUUAGCUAGUUGGAGAGGUAACGGCUCACCAAGGCCGCGAUGCAUAGCCGACCUGAGAGGGUGAUCGGCCACACUGGAACUGAGACACGGUCCAAACUCCUACGGGAGGCAGCAGUAGGGAAUCUUCCGCAAUGGGCGCAAGCCUGACGGAGCAACGCCGCGUGAGUGAUGAAGGUUUUCGGAUCGUAAAACUCUGUUGUUAGGGAAGAACAAGUGUGAGAGUAACUGUGCGCGCCUUGACGGUACCUAACCAGAAAGCCACGGCUAACUACGUG
rnacentral:rRNA from 1 species